rnacentral:rRNA from 1 species
UACGUAGGGUGCAAGCGUUAAUCGGAAUUACUGGGCGUAAAGCGUGCGCAGGCGGUGAUGUAAGACAGGUGUGAAAUCCCCGGGCUUAACCUGGGAACUGCAUUUGUGACUGCAUCGCUGGAGUGCGGCAGAGGGGAUGGAAUUCCGCGUGUAGCAGUGAAAUGCGUAGAUAUGCGGAGGAACACCGAUGGCGAAGGCAGCCCCUGGGUCAAGAUUGACGCUCAUGCACGAAAGCGUGGGAGCAACAGGAUAGAUACCC